AGUCACUGACAUUAGAUACCCGGGUAGUCCCAGCCGUAAACAAUGUGAGUUAGGUGUGUCGGUAACCACGCGUUACUGAUGCGCCGAAGAGAAAUCGUGAAACGCACCACCUGGGAAGUACGGUCGCAAGGCUGAAACUUAAAGGAAUUGGCGGGGAGCACCACAACAGGUGGAGCCUGCGGUUUAAUUGGAUUCAACGCCGGACAUCUCACCGGAUAAGACAGCUGAAUGAUUGUCAAUCUGAAGGUUUUACAUGACUAGCUG
rnacentral:rRNA from 1 species